AUCCUCUACUAACGAGGGAGUUGCUAAUAUCUCCUAAUGAACAAAUCUCAGCCGUUCAUUUUACAUCAACGGCCAGUAUCCUCACUACACAUCCCCAUGAAGUUCUCUCUCCCCUUCACACCCCCCUUCAACAUCCUGCAGCUCCCUCUCUCCCCCUCCCUCUCUCCCCCUCCAAGAUCAUCGGCGCUCGGCGCUCUCUCCCCCUCGAUCUCGAUUCGCGAGCUCACCGCAAAUCUGGACCACCUCCGCGAGCCGACCCCGCCGUUGAUCUCUCUCUCUCUCGAACUCGAUCUCGAUCCGCGAGCGGAGUUCGUCGCAGAUCCGGACCACCGCAAAUCUGGACCACCUCCACGAGCCGACCCCGCCGUUGAUAUCUCUCUCUCUCUCGAACUCGAUCUCGAUCCGUGAGCGGAGAUCGUCGCAGAUCCGGACCACCUCUGCGAGCUCUCUCUCUUCCCCAAAACUCUCCCCAAAAUUCCUCCGCGAGAUUCCUCCUCCGACGCUGCAGAAAUUUGCGAGUGGAUUGUAACAGCCGGAGCAAAGAAGAUGCCUUGAGGUGAAGGUAGAAGUGCAGUAAGCUAGCAUAUUUUGGGAAUCACCAAUUUUACCGACUGAUAGAGAAGGAAAGGAGUUUUCGUUUCUUUCCCUUGCCUGAUUUUACCGACUGGUGGAAAUUUUAUUGUAAAAGAAUGUAAAUAUUGAGUUGUAAGCUACGUUAGCUUGGGCAAGCAGUUUGAAUGUAAGGAAUAUUUAUCUUCAGUUUUAUUGUGUGCAUGUACAACAAAAUGUUCAAUGCUGUAGUUCUUCCAUGUUUCAACUUUUCAUGAGACUUGAUGUUCUA